GAUGAACGCUAGCUACAGGCUUAACACAUGCAAGUCGAGGGGCAGCAUGGUCUUAGCUUGCUAAGGCCGAUGGCGACCGGCGCACGGGUGAGUAACACGUAUCCAACCUGCCGUCUACUCUUGGACAGCCUUCUGAAAGGAAGAUUAAUACAAGAUGGCAUCAUGAGUCCGCAUGUUCACAUGAUUAAAGGUAUUCCGGUAGACGAUGGGGAUGCGUUCCAUUAGAUAGUAGGCGGGGUAACGGCCCACCUAGUCUUCGAUGGAUAGGGGUUCUGAGAGGAAGGUCCCCCACAGUGGAACUGAGACACGGUCCAAACUCCUACGGGAGGCAGCAGUGAGGAAUAUUGGUCAAUGGGCGAGAGCCUGAACCAGCCAAGUAGCGUGAAGGAUGACUGCCCUAUGGGUUGUAAACUUCUUUUAGAAAGGAAUAAAGUCGGGUAUGGAUACCCGUUUGCAUGUACUUUAUGAAUAAGGAUCGGCUAACUCCGUG
rnacentral:rRNA from 1 species